rnacentral:rRNA from 1 species
GAACUUGAGAGUUUGAUCCUGGCUCAGAACGAACGCUGGCGGCAGGUCUUAGGCAUGCAAGUCGAACGGGUGAAGCAGGUGCUUGCACUUGUGGAUCUAGUGGCGCACGAGUGAGUAACGCGUGGGAAACUGCCCAUCACUGGGGAAUAACGUUUGGAAACGAACGCUAAUACCGCAUACGCCGGAAACGGGAAAGAUUUAUCGGUGAUGGAUGUGCCCGCGUUGGAUUAGCUUGUUGG